GGUACCAUGGAUCUGUCUCUCACCCAAUAGCGUGAGCUGGGCCCUCCCUGGAGAAGAAACCUGGGUUCCCCAAAAUAUGUGAUCAAUGCCGGGGUCCUGCCAGCAGGCAAGGGGAUCCCAAGGCAGUUUCUGGGCAUGGAGGCCAGAGGGACAUAGGCUACCAAGGAGACAGAACUGAACCUCACAUCACCCUACUUGGCCCAGAGAUGGCUGGUAGUCAAAGACGGGUAAGACCCCACAGGGUGGGGCAACCUAAGACAGGCACAGUCGGGGGCCUGUAGGAGAGAACUUGGGGUUCAACAGAGGUGGGGCACAGAUCCUCACCCCCCCCCAGUGGUUCAGGGGCUUGAACACUCGCCCCUUCUGAGGAAAGUCUCCUGUCCCCAUGGCUGCUUCCCGCUUCCCACGCCCAGCUCAGAUCAGGACCCAGAUAACAGAAAGACUGGG